UAAUUGAGUUUCCAGUGAAUUUAAGUGUUAUUUAAACUUCUUUUAUAAUGUUAGCCUUGUACAUGCAUUUCCCCGUGCAAAUGCCAAAUUAUAAAGUACAAGUAUGAUAUUUGUAUAGGUUGUAUCCAAUGAGCUAUACAAGAUAUUGGACUGUAGGAAGCCUUCUUUUGCACCAAACAAAAGGAAGAACCAUUGAUGUCGAUUUGCAAAGGAACCAACAGAUCUACCUGUCAGACAACAUGUUAAGAGGGCAGACAGAAAUGGCAAGACUAAUCAAAUUGCUCUUUGCAGAAUCCAUUCAUGCACUGUGGAGGGAAUAAAACUAUAGAUUAUGCGAAAAUGCAGCAAAAGCCUGUGAAAGUUUUGCAAGAGAGAGUGUAUAUUCAAUUUCAGAGUUGUGAAGGUCUGAAAUGGCUACUGCAGAGGCUUUAUUUUCUAAUUUAUUUAGCUCUUUUUGUGUGCUGUAAAGUUAAAUUCAGGAGAUAGCAGAUUUUUAAUAGGACUUGGAGUUGGAGUUAUCCGGGAGGAGUUGGAGUUAUCCAGGAGAUUAGCUAUCUGUGAACUUGCUAUGUUUUGUAUUUCUUCACUUGGUGAUUAAUGAAAACGUUAAAUUACCAACAUAAAAAGAAAACUCAAAAAGUAAUUUUGGA